rnacentral:rRNA from 1 species
GUUGGGUUAGUCCCGCAACGAGCGCAACCCUUAUUUGUUGCCAGCGGUCCGGCCGGGAACUCAAAGGAGACUGCCAGUGAUAAACUGGAGGAAGGUGGGGAUGACGUCAAGUCAUCAUGGCCCUUACGACCAGGGCUACACACGUGCUACAAUGGCAUAUACAAAGAGAAGCGACCUCGCGAGAGCAAGCGGACCUCAUAAAGUAUGUCGUAGUCCGGAUUGGAGUCUGCAACUCGACUCCAUGAAGUCGGAAUCGCUAGUAAUCGUAGAUCAGAAUGCUACGGUGAAUACGUUCCCGGGCCUUGUACACACCGCCCGUCACACCAUGGGAGUGGGUUGCAAAAGAAGUAGGUAGCUUAACCUUCGGGAGGGCGCUUACCACUUUGUGAUUCAUGACUGGGGUGAAGUCGUAACAAGGUAACCGUAGGGGAACCUGCGGUUGGAUCACCUCCUUACCUUAAAGAA